ACCCUGACUGUGCUAAGGUAGCGUAAUCAGUUGGCUUUUAAUUGGAGUCGAGAAUGAAGGGGUUUAUGGGGGAAGACUGUCUCGGUGUUUAUUGUGUUGAACUUCCUAACAGGGUGAAAAUGCCCUGCUGCAGAAAAAAGACGAGAAGACCCUUAGAGUCUUGAUAAAUUUACUGUUUUUGUUGUAUGUUGUUUUUGUUGGGGCGACAACGAGGCAUCAAACCCUCGAACCAUAGACAAAACUAGCCGCUAAUUAGAAGCAAGAAAAGACUACCUUAGGGAUAACAGCAUAAUUUUAAUAUAAGCUUGUGACCUCGAUGUUGGACUAGGAGCUUUACGACUAGCCGUCGAAAGANAUGGUUCUGUUCGAACCGGGACUCCUACGUGAUCUGAGUU
rnacentral:rRNA from 1 species